GACGAACGCUGGCGGCGUGCUUAACACAUGCAAGUCGAGCGGAAAGGCCACUUCGGUGGUACUCGAGCGGCGAACGGGUGAGUAACACGUGAGUAAUCUGCCCCCCACUUUGGGAUAGCCACCGGAAACGGUGAUUAAUACCGGAUAUGACCCUUGACCGCAUGGUUGUGGGUGGAAAGUUUUUCGGUGGGGGAUGUGCUCGCGGCCUAUCAGCUUGAUGGUCGGGUAAUGGCCUACCAUGGCUUCGACGGGUAGCCGGCCUGAGAGGGUGACCGGCCACACUGGGACUGAGACACGGCCCAGACUCCUACGGGAGGCAGCAGUGGGGAAUAUUGGACAAUGGGCGGAAGCCUGAUCCAGCAACGCCGCGUGAGGGAUGACGGCCUUCGGGUUGUAAACCUCUUUCAGUACCGACGAAGCGAAAGUGACGGUAGGUACAGAAGAAGCACCGGCCAACUACGUGCCAGCCGCCGCGGUAA
rnacentral:rRNA from 1 species